UAUAAAUGUAAGUUUUUAAACUAAAUUAUUAAUAGUUAUGUUCUUUAAAGUUAAAUAAUUUGGCGGUAUUUUAGUCUUUUCAGAGGAACCUGUUCUAUAAUUGAUAAUCCACAAUUAAAAUUACUUAAAUUAGAAAUUUAUAUAUCAUUGUUAAAAAAUAUUUUUAUAGAAUUUAAUAUUUAAAAUAUAAAAUUUUAUUAUAAUUCAAAUCAAGGUAUAGUUUAUAUUUAAGAAGAAAUGGGUUACAAUAUUUAAAAAUAUUGAAUUUUAAAUUUAAAAUUUAAAUGAAAUUGGAUUUGAAAGUAAUUAAUUUAUUUAUCUUUAAUGAUUAAGCUCUAAAAUAUGU
rnacentral:rRNA from 1 species